GCCUGCGGAGGGAUCAUUACCGAGUUAUACAACUCAUCAACCCUGUGAACAUACCUAAAACGUUGCUUCGGCGGGAACAGACGGCCCUGUAACAACGGGCCGCCCCCGCCAGAGGACCCCUAACUCUGUUUUUAUAAUGUUUUUCUGAGUAAACAAGCAAAUAAAUUAAAACUUUCAACAACGGAUCUCUUGGCUCUGGCAUCGAUGAAGAACGCAGCGAAAUGCGAUAAGUAAUGUGAAUUGCAGAAUUCAGUGAAUCAUCGAAUCUUUGAACGCACAUUGCGCCCGCCAGUAUUCUGGCGGGCAUGCCUGUUCGAGCGUCAUUACAACCCUCAGGCCCCCGGGCCUGGCGUUGGGGAUCGGCGGAAGCCCCCUGUGGGCACACGCCGUCCCUCAAAUACAGUGGCGGUCCCGCCGCAGCUUCCAUUGCGUAGUAGCUAACACCUCGCAACUGGAGAGCGGCGCGGCCAUGCCGUAAAACACCCAACUUCUGAAUGUUGACCUCGAAUCAGGUAGGAAUACCCGCUGAACUUAAGCAUAUCAUAAGGCCGGGAAGGAA
rnacentral:rRNA from 1 species